AGCAUCAUCUUAUAAGAUAAGGUCCAGAUACAUUUCAUUGAUAAGGUCCAGAUACAUUUAAAUUAUUAUUAUUAUUAUUAUUAUUUUCAUCUGUCUUUGCACAACUGCACAUAACAAUACAAUAAAAUUGCAUAACAAAAAACAAUGCAUUGCAAAAGAAGUUAACUUCCAUACUGCUUUUGUCAAUGCAUAAGGUACAGCGAUGGAGAAAUAAUAUGCAAAAAUAUCUUUAUAGAGCACACUUGAGCUCAUUUGUCCUGGAGCAUCAUGACUGUCAGCACAGCAUUGUAGUUGCUCUUUGUUCUUCAGUGGGCUUUGUGUGCGAAUGUGUCACUCACUAAUCAUGGAGAAAAAAGGCCCAUUCCCUCACCUGAAUGGCUACAGGUCACUGUAUCAUUAUGGAAAAACAGAACAGGCACAAGCACCGCUGCUGUUUGUCUCAUGCAAAUUUGUCGUGUAGGAAAGAGGUUGGUGGAUUACGUCAGGUGAAAUCCUCAGCUGCAUCCUGAUCAAGGUAUAAAAAGUCAGUCUGAAGCACAAUAUAGCAAUACUCCUACUUUGCCUUACAGGACAGAAGUUGUACAAGUGAAGAAUGAAUAUCUCUGCUCUGUUGGUGUUUAUUUCUGCUGUCGUGUCUGUUUAUGGGUAUUAUGAACUGCCCUGCUCUGACUGCAAUCAUCCUUGCACUGCUGAUCGCUUGAAAAACGUCACAGAACAAUUACUCGAGCACAUGAACUUUACUGACUGCAGACAGAACAAACACUUUUCAAGAAGAGCCAAUCCUACCUGGAAGUGCGAGUAAGUGUUCUUACAAUUAAUUCAGUUAUUUUUAUGCUAGUAACCUUUCUUAUGUGUAGUAAUAUUAGAUGAGAGGCUGUUGGGUGUUGAGGACUCAAAGUACAAAGUGUUUAUAUGGAAGACCCCCCUUAUUUGCUUUUUUGGUUCAUUAUUAUUAUUUCAUUUAAUAGCUUUAUAAGGUUAUUUACUGUUAUUUUAUUUAAUGUCAUCUAAACAUGUUUAAUUAGGUAGUUUGGACACACUUAUGCAUGCAGCUGGUUCAUGUUGAUGAAAUUAAUAUGGCUCUUAUCAGCCAAACAAGAAAGAACUGUCUUUUGAGGUUGAAACUAUAUUUACAGUUUUUGUUUGUCAGUAGACAUUCCAUACUAUUUAAAGGGCUGUUUUAGAUUGAGAAUUUGAUGAUGAUAAAGGAUAUGAUGUGUGUCAAUGCUCCACAACUUAUGAGUCUUUUUUUUUUUUUCACAGACCAUCACACAUUUUAGACAGACGUCCUGAAAAGGUCUUUAAUGCCAUAUGUGGAAACUGCAAAGAUGGAUCUGAGGCAGUAUCGAUUUUGCAAAAUAUCAGCAUGUUAUUCAGAAAGUCCUGCCUGAACAGAAAUAACUCUAAUAAUAACAUAAUAUUAUAUGUAAAACCAGUCACAAUCUCAUUAGGCUGUACGUGUGUAAAGAAAACUCCUUUUUAAAGAACAAUAUGUAAAUUAUGCCUGGAUGAUAUGGAUGAUCUUUUAUGUUUUUGACAAAAAUGCUCUUAAUGUUUUUUACAAUGCAUGUUUGUAAAAACGUUCUCAAAACCAUGUAAUAAUUUGGCUGUGUAUAUAUAAUGAUGCAUUUAUUUUUGCUAAAUUACUCUUCUUAUAGAAGUAAAUAAAGCUUGUUCAAAUAAACAAAAUUGUUUCUUUUUUUGUAUGAUAUUCAAAACAGUACAUGAAUUUGACACAAGCUCAUUCAGAUGCCAUACUAUGUCACAUAUAGUUAUAUACAUUAUACUUCAUCCCAGUGUAUGAAUGUAUAUUUUCUACUCAGAAACAGAGUUAUGUUUCAUAUUUUAUAACUGGGUAAUCUAGUUCUGGCCACAAUUAUUGACACCCUUGGUAAAUAUAUUCAUCUUUCUUUAAAUUGGCAGACAAAAUGUUUCUGUAGACUUCUGAGUUCAUUUUGCUGCUGCCAUCAUGUGUUACAUCAUCAAUGAAGAUUAAUGAGCCUGUCCCAGAAGAAGCCAUACAAGCCCAAGCCAUGACAUUACCUCCACUGUGUUACACAGAUGAGCUUUUAUGUUUGGGAUCAUGAGCAGAUCCUUUCUUUCUCCAAACUUUAGCCUUUCUGUCACUUUGGUAAAGAUUAAUCUUUGUCUCAUCAGUCCAUAAAACUUUGUCCCAGAACUUUUGAGGCUCAUCUCUGUACUUUUUGGCAAAUUCCAGCCUGGCCUUUCUAUUCUUCUUGCUAAUGAGUGGUUUGCAUCUUCUGGUGUAGCCUCUGUACUUGUGAUCAUGAAGUCUUCUGCGAACAGUAGAUUGUGAUACCUUCACCCCUGCCCUCUGGAGGUUGUUGCUGAUCUCACUUACAGUUGUUUUAGGGUCUUUCCUGACCGCUCUCACAAUAUUUCUGUCAUCAACUGCAGUUGUUUUCCUUGGUCUACCUGUUCGAUGUCUGUUACUUAGUACACCAGUGGCUUCUUUCUUCUUCAGGACAUUCCAAAUGGUUAAAAUGGCUAUGGCCAAUGUGUGUGCAAUGGCUCUGAUUGAUUUUCCUUCUUCUGUCAGCUUCACAAUUGCUUGUUUUUCACCCAUAGACAGCUCUCUGGUUUUCAUGUUGGUUACACCUCACAGGCUUAUAGCUAUAAAUGCAGUUUGAACAGGCAAUACCCAAAUCUGAAUCUGAGCGUCGACAUUCAGUGCUAAUUAUUGUUUGAAUAAUCACUGUGAUAGGACACACCUGGGCAACAAAAAACACCUGUCAGUCACAUGUUCCAAUACUUUUGCUCACAUGAAAAAUGGGUGGGUUCAAACAAAAUGUGAUAUCUUAUAAGUUGUUUGUCAGAUCCAGAUGUAAAUACCUGCAAAUAAAAGCUGGCAUGUAAAUCUCUUGUCUGAUAUUCAACUUUUGAGGUCAAACCCAAAUGUUUUCAGUCUACAGCAAAAAUAAAGGAAUUGGCCUCACUGUCCCAAUACUUUUGGAGGGGAGUGUAUAUUGCCUUUAAAAUAUGGUUAAAAUAUACUGCUGAAUGUACUGAUAAGCAUUUGGUUAACAACUGUAAAAUAUACUUUUUUUCCCAACUGUAUUUUUUUCUUCUUCUUGUGAG
ensembl:lncRNA